GCCUUCGUGGUGUAGUGGUCAGCACACUCGACGCAUAUUCGAGAGGUCCUUGGUUCGAGUCCUGGAGAGAGCA
rnacentral:tRNA from 1 species